rnacentral:rRNA from 1 species
GUGCCAGCAGCCGCGGUAAUACCGGCAGUUCGAGUGAUGUCCAAUAUUAUUGGGCCUAAAGCGUCCGUAGCUGGCCGCGCAAGUCCGUCGGGAAAUCCACUCGCCCAACGAGUGGGCGUCCGACGGAAACUGCACAGCUUGGGACCGGAAGGCUCGAAGGGUACGUUCGGGGUAGGAGUGAAAUCCCAUAAUCCCGCACGGACCACCGAUGGCGAAAGCACUUCGAGAAAACGGAUCCGACAGUGAGGGACGAAAGCCAGGGUCUCCAACCGGAUUAGAAACCCCGGUAGUCC